rnacentral:rRNA from 2 species
AGAUGGUGAACUAUGCCUGAAUAGGGCGAAGCCAGGGGAAACCCUGGUGGAAGCCCGCAGCGAUUCUGACGUGCAAAUCGAUCGUCAAAUUUGGGUAUAGGGGCGAAAGACUAAUCGAACCGUCUAGUAGCUGGUUCCCUCCGAAGUUUCCCUCAGGAUAGCUGGAGCCCGGUGCAGUUUUAUCAGGUAAAGCGAAUGAUUAGAGGUCUCGGGGUCGAAACGACCUCGACCUAUUCUCAAACUUUAAAUGGGUAAGAGGUCCGGCUUGCUCGGUUGAAGUCGGACGCGGAAUGCCGGGGCUCCUAGUGGGCCAUUUUUGGUAAGCAGAACUGGCGAUGUGGGAUGAACCGAAAGCCGGGUUAAGGUGCCCGAAUCGACGCUCAGCA